rnacentral:rRNA from 1 species
UACAGAGGGUGCGAACGUUGCUCGGAAUUACUGGGCGUAAAGCGCAUGUAGGCGGGGCGGCAAGUCAGAUGUGAAAUCCCCGGGCUCAACCCGGGAACUGCAUCUGAAACUGCUGGUCUUGAGUACUGGAGAGGGUGGCGGAAUUCCUGGUGUAGAGGUGAAAUUCGUAGAUAUCAGGAGGAACACCGGUGGCGAAGGCGGCCACCUGGACAGUAACUGACGCUGAGAUGCGAAAGCGUGGGGAGCAAACAGG